ensembl:lncRNA
GAGCUGGUGAACCCUGAAUGGACUCAGGAUGUGAAACACACAGUACUGGCCCCAGAUAGCUGAGGAAUGUUGCCCUUGCCGCACAAGUGCAUUCCAUCCCUUGCCUUGGAAUGGGACCCCUCUUUCAGCAAAGAGUGAUCCCACAGAGAUGCUGGCCCCACCAGUACCAAGAGGAUACCACUUCACCACCAGCCUCAGAACUCACAGAUAUUUUUGAAUUUGCAUCGCUAAGAGAUAGAAUCGGAUGGAACAAGCUUAGGCCAAAUGAGGAGAUCAGAAAAUGCCACCCCAAGAUAUGGCUCUUUGGCAUAGGAUUAUUUUGAACUGGAGGCAAGUGACAAUCAGAGAAAAAGCCUUCUUCGAACUUCCCCUACUGACUAAAAGCAGAUACUUCUGAGAAAUGAGGACUGCUGUAAAUCUUUUCUGGGAGAAUUUUAAAGCGAAAAGAUGAAAAGUCAGCACUGAGACAGAUCUGCAAACAAAGCUUAUUGAAAUAGCCCUUGUCUUCCAUUUCCUUUCCACGUGUACUUACCUUCCCACAGUUUGCCACCCUAAAAGCCGGAACCAAUUUUCCUCUGUCUUGUCACUUCUCUACAAAUUUAUUAUUCUUUGUUAAAAUGCUAUGCAAG